rnacentral:rRNA from 1 species
UACGUAGGGGGCAAGCGUUGUCCGGAUUUAUUGGGCGUAAAGAGCGUGUAGGCGGCCAGGUAGGUCUGCUGUGAAAACCCGAGGCUCAACCUCGGGCCUGCAGUGGGUACGGGCAGACUAGAGUGCGGUAGGGGAGAUUGGAAUUCCUGGUGUAGCGGUGGAAUGCGCAGAUAUCGGGAGGAACACCCGUGGCGAAGGCGGCUUUCUAGGAUAUACCUGACACUGAGAAGCGACAGCUAGGGGAGCAAACAGG